CAAUAGCGUAUAUUAAAGUUGUUGCAGUUAAAAGCUCGUAGUUGGAUUUCUGGCCGAGUGUCCCUAGGCCAGCAUGACGUUUGGUCCUAGGCGCUCUGCCAUCCUUCUGUCAACCUUCGCCUUCUUCAUUGGGGGCGCUGGGGCUCAGAUAUUUUACCUUGAGAAAAUUAGAGUGUUUCAGGCAGGCUUUCGCCGGAAUACAUUAGCAUGGAAUAAUAAGAUAGGACCUCGGUUCUAUUUUGUUGGUUUCUAGAUCUGAGGUAAUGAUUAAUAGGGAUAGUUGGGGGGCAUUCGUAUUUAACUGUCAGAGGUGAAAUUCUUGGAUUUAUGAAAGAUGAACUUAGGCGAAAGCAUUUACCAAGGAUGUUUUCAUUAAUCAAGAACGAAAGUUAGGGGAUCAAAGACGAUCAGAUACC
rnacentral:rRNA from 1 species